CCUACGGGUGGCAGCAGUGGGGAAUAUUGCACAAUGGGGGAAACCCUGAUGCAGCGACGCCGCGUGAGUGAAGAAGGAUUUCGGUAUGUAAAGCUCUAUCAGUAGGGAAGAAAUAGCGACCUUUGGGUCGCCAGACGGUACCUGAUUCAGAAGCCCCAGCUAACUACGUGCCAGCCGCCGCGGUAAUACGUAGGGGGCAAGCGUUAUCCGGCUUUACUGGGUGUAAAGGGAGCGUAGACGGCAGCGCAAGUCUGAAGUGAAAUGCCGGGGCUUAACACCGGAACUGCUUGGGAAACUGUGCAGCUGGAGUGCAGGAGAGGUAAGUGGAAUUCCUGGUGUAGCGGUGAAAUGCGUAGAUAUUAGGAGGAACACCAGUGGCGAAGGCGGCUUACUGGACUGUAACUGACGUUGAGGCUCGAAAGCGUGGGGAGCAAACAGGAUUAGAUACCCUGGUAGUC
rnacentral:rRNA from 1 species